UACGUAGGGGGCAAGCGUUAUCCGGAUUUACUGGGUGUAAAGGGAGCGUAGACGGCGAUACAAGUCUGAAGUGAAAGCCCCGGGCUUAACCUGGGAACUGCUUUGGAAACUGUACUGCUAGAGUGCUGGAGAGGUAAGCGGAAUUCCUAGUGUAGCGGUGAAAUGCGUAGAUAUUAGGAGGAACACCAGUGGCGAAGGCGGCUUACUGGACGAUAACUGACGCUGAGGCUCGAAAGCGUGGGGAGCAAACAGG
rnacentral:rRNA from 1 species